rnacentral:rRNA from 1 species
GACGAACGCUGGCGGCGUGCCUAAUACAUGCAAGUCGAACGCAGUGGGGACGGGUGAGUAACACGUGGGUAACCUCCCAUCAGAGGGGAUAACCCUUGGCAACAGGUGCUAAACCGCUACUGAUGGAUGUACCCGCGGUGCAUUAGCUAGUUGGUGAGGUAACGGCUAACCUAGGCCACGAUGCAUAGCCGACCUGAGAGGGUGAUCGGCAACACUGGAACUGAGACACGGCCCAGACUCCUACGGGAGGCAGCAGUGGGGAAUAUUGGGCAAUGGGCGAAAGUCUGACCGAGCAACGCCGCGUGAAUGAAGAAGGUUUUCGGAUCGUAAAGCUCUGUUGGUAGAGAAGCGGUAUCUAACGAGGAAGCAACGGCUAACUACGUGCCAGCAGCCGCGGUAAUUC